rnacentral:rRNA from 1 species
GACAGAGGUGGCAAGCGUUGCUCGGAUUUAUUGGGUGUAAAGGACAGGUAGGCGGCCAUGAAAGUCCGUUGUGAAAUCCCAGGGCUCAACCCUGGAACUGCAGUGGAAACUUCAUGGCUUGAGUGCUUGAGAGGUGGGGGGAAUUCCUGGUGUAAGAGUGAAAUCUGUAGAGAUCAGGAGGAAUACCAAUGGCGAAGGCACCCCACUGGUGAGCAACUGACGCUGAACUGCGAAAGCUAGGGGAGCAAACAGG